rnacentral:rRNA from 1 species
AUUGAACGCUGGCGGCAGGCCUAACACAUGCAAGUCGAACGAGUGGCGGACGGGUGAGUAAUGUCUGGGAAUCUGCCUUAUGGAGGGGGAUAACUACUGGAAACUGUAGCUAAUACCGCGUACCAUAGGAUGAGCCCAAGUGGGAUUAGGUAGUUGGUGGGGUAAAGGCUCACCAAGCCGACGAUCCCUAGCUGGUCUGAGAGGAUGACCAGCCACACUGGAACUGAGACACGGUCCAGACUCCUACGGGAGGCAGCAGUGGGGAAUAUUGCACAAUGGGCGCAAGCCUGAUGCAGCCAUGCCGCGUGUAUGAAGAAGGCCUUCGGGUUGUAAAGUUCUUUCGGCGGGGAGGCGUUACCCACAGAAGAAGCACCGGCUAACUCCGUGCCAGCAGCCGCGGUAAUUC